rnacentral:lncRNA from 1 species
CAGAUGCCACUGACCCAGCCCGUGAAAUGCACAUACAGAGUGGUAUUGGAGAAGCAAAUAGGUACCUGUUUGACAACUCUUACAAUCUUUCCUGUGGCAGAGAUGACUGACAAUGCCAGCUCUGCAAUUCCAAGUUAACUUCUGAUUUUGAAACAUCACUGGCAGAUAUGAAAGUAAAAUAAAGUAAAAGAAGAAAAAGUGAAGCAAUGGAAAAAUCUCCCCUGGCUCACAGUGUUGAAGAGAAGGUAUUUCCAAACCUCAAGAUGUGUUUUUGAACUUUCUUUUAUGAGGAAGAGAGACCAUCUACCACUGUUGUGGAGAGCACUUCAUAAGGAAAAUAAAUUUCUCUGGAAGAGCAUGGAGCCAAGCAGAUGCUUACAAGCACCUGUGUCACAUGAGGAAGAGGAUGUCCCAGAGGAAACAGACAUGAUGCCUUCUCUUUUCACAGCCUUUGCUUUGGGGCACAGGGACACAAGCCACUCUGCUGGAUUAAGUUAAUUAAAUAGGAAGACAAGCUAUCUUCCCCCACAGUAAACCUUGGGAAACUGAGAGGAAAUACCACAACUGGUUGCUGCCAUGUGCAGCACAAUCAAGCUCAAUUUUGAAAGCACAUCAUCACUAACUUUCACAAAAGAUAAUUACCAGUGCUUGAAUAAAACUGUCAGGUUUGGAGUUCCA